rnacentral:rRNA from 1 species
UACGUAGGUGGCAAGCGUUGUUCGGAAUCACUGGGCGUAAAGCGCACGUAGGCGGAUGUGUCAGUCAGGGGUGAAAUCCCGGGGGCUCAACCUCGGAACUGCCUUUGAUACAGCACGUCUCGAGUCCGGAAGAGGUGGGUGGAAUUCCUAGUGUAGAGGUGAAAUUCGUAGAUAUUAGGAAGAACACCGGUGGCGAAGGCGGCCCACUGGUCCGGUACUGACGCUGAGGUGCGAAAGCGUGGGGAGCAAACAGG